CGUCACGGGCGCACCUUGGGUGGGGGCCUGGAUGGAGCGCGCCCCAGGCCCAUGAAGUGUAGUGAGACCUCAUAGUCAACAAGAGGCAGGACUAAUCUCUUCCGUGUGGUAACCAGUGACAGGACCCGAGAGAAUGGCCUGGAGCUCAGUCAGGGGAGGUUUAGGUUGGGUAUCAGGGUAUGGUUCGUCACCCAGAGGUGUCUGGGCACUGGCACAGGCUCCCCAGGGAAGUGGUCACAGCACCAGCCUGACAGAGUUCAAAAGGCUUUAGGACAACGCUUUUAGGCACAUGGUGUGAUUCUUAGGACUGUAUGUGCAGGGCCAGGAGUGGGACUCGACUGUGCUGGUGGGUCCCUUUCAGCUCGGGAUAGCCUGUGCCUCUGUGGGAGCCACCAGGUACGAUGCUCGGCCGAGGGGAUGGCGUGUCGCAGUGCCCCGGGCUCAGGGCCCGCCGGGGGACCGGGCGUGUCCAUCAGCCUGGCAGGAUGGAGAGGUCUCGGAGAAAGCCAGCGGAGCUCGGCGAGUCGGUGGCCUGGGGAACCCCAGACCCCCUGCGAGCGUGCCGUGGGACAGAGCCCAUGGCGUGCUGGGGCCGCUGAUGUUGGCUAGUGGGUUGCUAGCAGCUGUCCCUCCUUGGCUCUCCGUUGUCUCUGGUAACCAGGAGCCUGAGGAAGGGCAGUGGGCCCGCCCUUCUGCCUCUUGCACGGCUUCAAGUCUGCAUUUCAUGGAUUCUCUGGAGGCUUCACGUUUCCCCCAGAUGGGAAAAUGCAGGGACAAUGACUGAAGAGCUGCAUGGAAGAGAAGGUGACCACAGAGAUAGUCCUGUCAUAAUUCAGUCACUCUCCAAAGAGACAAAGCAGAAGAAAGGCAGUGGGCUGAGCAUAAAAAUGGCCUGGAAGGAGAAAGCUUUGAACUAUCUGAGACCUGCAACUAAAAUAUGCCAAAAGUUAUUGCUGCUUCAAGUAGCAUUAAGGUCUGCUUGGUGCCCAGCAGGAACAGUGUAUAUUUAGUGAGUGGCUUCAGCUUUGGCACUGAAAACCUGGAUAUUCUACCACCUUACCAGGACACAGAUCCCAUCCAGUACUGUAGUAGUGAUUUCAGACCCUGGGUUGAAUGAAACCUUCUCCCGCAAUUUUCAAACUCAGUUCUCAACAGCAGAAGGGUGAGAGGUUCAGAAGUAACACAGGAACAGGUCACCACUGAGAUGUGAAUAAACCAGAGCAAAAUCAUGCUCUUUAUUGCCUUUCAUUACACCAAGACAUCUACUGUAGUGUGGAAAACUAAAUGAGAGACCUGGCAAAUAUGAAAGGGUAAAAUACCUCCAGCUGCAUGCAAUAAGACUUCAAUAGCAUGAAAGAGUCCUGAGGUCAUUACAAACUACAGGUACAGGGCUCCAUGGAUUGUUUACUUUCAUGAGGGACACCGGAAAAAAUGACACAUACUCUGAAUAUGUGUAGACUUGGCAAAUAUGUUAAUAGUUACAAUCAAGAUUCUGAUUUUGUUUAAGAAUCAUUAGGAAGUCUUAGUGAAAAGUUAGGUAGCUUAUAAUUUGCCCUAAUACUUUAAACCUGCAAGCAAAUGAGGGGGAGUUUUAAUACCAAGCCAUACCUUUUGGGAAUACUCUUAUCAAGUAUGUGCAAAAACCUCCCCAAAAUGUUUAAAUACAUUUAACAGGCCAGAAAUUGUCUCAAGGUCAGUUGUACUUAAAUUUAGUAGUAAAGUUUGUGUCUUCACUUUCUUUGGGUAACUGAAGGUUUUUAUUGUUUCAUUACAAAGAACUGCCCUAAUGAUAUCCGUGUAAGAACUUCGUAUGAAAAUGGUAAAUAAAAGCAGCAUUUGUCACUAAUUAGCCUGGACAUCUGGAAGAAGGAUAAUAAAAUCACAGUACAACUUUA